UACAGAGGUGGCAAGCGUUGUUCGGAAUUACUGGGCGUAAAGGGCGCGUAGGCGGCCUACUAAGUCAGACGUGAAAUCCCCCGGCUUAACCUGGGAACUGCGUCUGAUACUGGAAGGCUUGAGUAUGGGAGAGGGAUGUAGAAUUCCAGGUGUAGCGGUGAAAUGCGUAGAUAUCUGGAGGAAUACCGGUGGCGAAGGCAGCCUCCUGGGCCAACACUGACGCUCAUGCACGAAAGCGUGGGGAGCAAACAGG
rnacentral:rRNA from 1 species